UGGCAGUUGACAUGGUGACUGUGAAUAUGAACGCUGUCUGAGUUUUAUCUGGGAGUGUUUGGAAGUAUUUAUAGCACUGUGAGUUCAAUGCGGAGAAGGAAAAGCUCUUUUUCAUUCUAAGAAGUGAGACACAAAAAUUUAAGAAUGAUUUGUACAUUAAUGUUCUUCUGGGCAUCUGUUCUGUGGUUUCAAGAAUCUAAUGGAGAGAUAACAGUCUCACAGACUCCAGACGUGAAACAUGUUCUUCCAGGAGAGUCUGUCAGUAUCCGCUGUAAAACCAGCGCUCCAGUAUAUCCAGACUGUAGUAGCUCAGGAAAACCUUGCCUGUUCUGGUACCAAAAAAAAGAGGGAGCACCACCAAAAAUCCUAGUUUAUCGUGCAGAUUUGCGCCACCAAGAUGCUCCAGUUAGGUUCAGUGGCAGUGGAUCUGGGAGUGACUUCACACUGGCUAUAAGUGGAGUCCACCGUGAAGACAGUGGAGUGUAUUACUGCAAGAGUAUACACAGCGGUAAUGUGUUCACACAGUGAAACAGAGCCGUACAAAAACCUUCCUCAGUCUGGCUACACAUGACUACCCUGAAACAACGGGGGAACUGUUGUAACGUCAUUGAAAUGACACUGAAAUACAACUCUUGUGUACUAAAUUAAUAUUGUAUACAGCA